AAGUCGUAACAAGGUUUCCGUAGGUGAACCUGCGGAAGGAUCAUUAACACAUACAAGCAGAUCCGGAAGCGAUAGCGGGUUAGAUACCGCAGUCGCUAUCGGAUAUGCCAAGCUGAUCGUUAAGAGUAGUAGCAAUACUUUCUCUUAGCGAUCAUCAUAACAAGUAACCUGGGGUACUUUAAUAGUGGAGAUUGCAUUUCGGUGCGUCUUUUGCUGUUAGAGCCCUUCUAAUAAUCCCUAACUUUUUACCAUUUUACCCCUUAUAAACUAAUAAGACUGAUAUGACAUGAUUUAAUGUCACAAUUAAAUCUAAAAACAACUCUUAACAAUGGAUAUCUAGGUUCUG
rnacentral:misc_RNA from 1 species